rnacentral:tRNA from 1 species
AUUAGCUCAGUGGUAGAGCAAUCGGCUGUUAACCGAUAGGUCGUUGGUUCGAAUCCAACAUCCCCCGCCA